UCAUCAAUUACAAGCUCAAAACUACACUACUCCAUUAACCCAGUUACACUCAAGAAAAUCCUCACUACAUAACUACUCUUAGUAAAUACAUUAGCUAGUUAUCUAAGUCUCCUCUAGAAAUAAUCCAAUAUAUUUACUACUUUAACUAUUACACCACGAAGGGUGUCUUUAACUACAAUGGUCAAUAGUUUCUUCCUCUUGGACUAUGCCCUUCUCCAACUUAUACUAAAGCCUCUCUCUCUCCAUGGGACUGUAAUAGGCAAGUGCCACUCACCUCAAUAGGCAAAAGCAUUUUCUUCACGAUGGGCGAAAACUACUCCUCAGCAGUGGGUAAAGCCAAAUUAAUCUCUCCACAAUACUUCUAUUUACAGCGUUAGUCCCUCAAUCCUAAUCUAAUUAGGAAUCCCGCUCAAUUUAAGAAUAACAUUAAAAUAGGAGUUUUACUUUAAUAUAGGAAAUAAUCUUUCAUCCUAUUACACUGUUGUAAAAGGAGUUCAAGGCGCCCGGAGAUGAGGCGCCACUCUCAUGCCUUGCCUGACACUGCCUAAGCUCCAUUCAAAGAUGCAAGCGCCUCGGAGCAGAGAGGCGAGAGGCCCCCUAAGGCGAUGACUCUGUAAUGCAAUGGCAAUUUUUUUUUUAAUUAUUUAAAGCCAAAUAAAAGAAAAAUCCCUAAGCCACCUACCUCAGUCCUCGCGAGAAAGGAACAUGGGCACUCUCAAGUCUCAACUGUGCACUCAGCAGCACUCUCAAGUCUCAACUUUAGCUUCAGCCUUUAAGUAUCUCUCUCUCUCUC
rnacentral:misc_RNA from 1 species